CCAGCCAGUCGGGUAAUCGCUCUGUCAGGCUAACCCCUGAUAGGGAGGAAAGUCCGAACACCCUUUUCCGCCAGAUGGCGGACCAAAAAAAGUAGCGGCUAACCGCCGUCCACCGUAAGGUGCGAGGUGCGAACAGAGACGUUCCGAAGCGAAAGCUGAGGAACGCCCGGUCGAAUGAUCGGGCGAGCCCUAAAGGCAACUUUAGGGGUGAAACGGCCAAAUCCUUAUCGGGCGCAAGAACAAAGCUCGUCGGAAUUUCCCCGCGGAAAAUCCUGAGGAGUUAAAAGUAGUUCGCUAGAUCCCGAGGGCAACCGAGGGACCAGAGAAAUGGUUACCGUCCCGCUUACAGCGGGAUACAGAAUUCGGCUUAUAGACUGACUGGAAAU
rnacentral:RNase_P_RNA from 1 species